AUGUUUACACAUGACGUUACUAUGUUUACACAUGAUGUUAAGUCUUCUGCUUUAUAACUAUAUAUAGUUAUAAAAUAUAACACUAUAUUUUAUAAAAAUGACAGUGAAACUAGUUCUCAGUUAAUUUAUAUGCAUUAGAGUGGUAUUGCUUUGUAAAAAACUGUUUACAUAAGGUAAAGAAAAAUAGCAAAUAAAUAUUAUCAAAAUUAUAGCAACUCAGCACGCAAAGUAGUUUAAGUUUUUAUGUAGACAUAAAAAGAUAUUAUAGAAAUAUUAAUGCUUUGUGUAGGAUUCAAUCAACUGUUUACGAUAAUCACAGAAGUAAUCACAAUAUAAUAACGACAAAAGUAAAGCUGAUAUGGUAAUUGCAAAAACACGAGAACUUAUGAUGACUGCAACACAAUUUUUUUGCUUUUGUUUUUAUAUAUAAUUAUGCAAAUUUAUCUUGUUACUUUAUUGUUUAGUUUUUAUUUCAAACUAUUUAUUUCCUAUUUUUAUUAAACUGAAGAAGUUAGAACUUACUUAAAACGGUAACGGUCACGUACCUGUGAUUGAAGAUGUUAAAAUAUAUUUAAAACAUUAAUGGUGACGUAUCUGUGACUACCGGUGACGUAAAAUUCAUUUAUUACUACCUGUUAUGCCGAUAUACUGGUCUACUUGUUAUUACAAUUACUAUUAGUCAUGGCAACUGUUUUUUGUUUUCAUAUGUAAUGUGAAAGUUUGCAAAACAACGAGAAACUAAAUUUUAA